GCGCGAGUGGUGGAAUUGGCAGACUCGCUAGAUUCAGGUUCUAGUGUACACUACGUACGUGCGGGUUCAAGUCCCGCCUCGCGCACCA
rnacentral:tRNA from 1 species